rnacentral:rRNA from 1 species
CUUANGUUNUUCGCCCACGGGUGCGUAACGCGUAUGCAACCUACCUUAAACUGGGGNAUAGCCUUCCGAAAGGGAGAUUAAUACCGCAUAAUACUAUUUGAGGGCAUCUGAGGAUAGUUAAAGAUUUAUUGGUUUGAGAUGGGCAUGCGUGCCAUUAGCUAGUUGGUAGGGUAACGGCCUACCAAGGCGACGAUGGCUAGGGGUUCUGAGAGGAUGAUCCCCCACACUGGCACUGAGAUACGGGCCAGACUCCUACGGGAGGCAGCAGUAGGGAAUAUUGGGCAAUGGGCGAAAGCCUGACCCAGCCAUGCCGCGUGCAGGAAGAAGGCCUUCUGGGUUGUAAACUGCUUUUAUCUGGGAAGAAAAAGCCCCUGCGGGGGAAACUGACGGUACCAGAGGAAUAAGCACCGGCUAACUCCGUGCCAGCAGCCGCGGUAAUACGGANGGUGCAGCGUUGUCCGGAUUUAUUGGGUUUAAGGGUGCGUAGGCGGCCCGGUAAGUCAGUGGUGANCCUCCAGCUCAACUGGAGAACUGCCAUUUGAUACUGCCNGGCUUGANUACAGACCAAGUUGGCGGAAUUGAUAGUGUACCGUUGAAUGC